GAUCAUGGCUCAGGAUGAACGCUAGCGACAGGCCUAACACAUGCAAGUCGAGGGGCAGCAUGGUAUCAGCUUGCUGAUACCGAUGGCGACCGGCGCACGGGUGAGUAACGCGUAUGUAAUCUGCCUGUAACAGAGGGAUAACCCGGAGAAAUCCGGCCUAAUACCUCAUAAUACAUAUUAUUCGCAUGAGUUUUAUGUUAAAGAAAUUCGGUUACAGAUGAACAUGCGUUCCAUUAGCUGGUUGGCGGGGUAACGGCCCACCAAGGCGACGAUGGAUAGGGGUUCUGAGAGGAAGGUCCCCCACACUGGUACUGAGACACGGACCAGACUCCUACGGGAGGCAGCAGUGGGGAAUAUUGCACAAUGGGGGAAACCCUGAUGCAGCGACGCCGCGUGAGUGAUGAAGUAUUUCGGUAUGUAAAACUCUAUCAGCAGGGAAGAUAAUGACGGUACCUGACUAAGAAGCACCGGCUAAAUACGUG
rnacentral:rRNA from 1 species